rnacentral:rRNA from 1 species
UACGGAGGGUGCGAGCGUUGUCCGGAAUCACUGGGCGUAAAGGGCGCGUAGGCGGCAUGCCAAGCGUGUGGUGAAAGCCCGGGGCUCAACCCCGGGUCGGCCGUGCGGACUGGCGUGCUCGAGCACUGUAGGGGCGGGUGGAAUUCCGGGUGUAGUGGUGGAAUGCGUAGAGAUCCGGAGGAACACCAGCGGCGAAGGCGGCAUCCUGGACUGGUCCUGACACUCAUGAGCGAAAGCGUGGGGAGCGAUCCGG